UCAGUGUUGCAAUCCUGAGUCACACUUGGAAGCCAUAACUUGAGAAGGCCUGUUCAGUGCAGUACUAGAAAAGGACCAAGACCCAAGCAUGAGCCUAAGGUGGUUUUGACCUGUACUGUGCUGCCAGAGGUUGAGGAGUGAUGGUGGAGGCAGUCCUUUGCUACAUGGCUAAACAGAUCCAGAGGAUCAGUCUGUUCAAUCCUGAAGCUACCUUGGGACCACCAGCUAUCAAUCAACUCAUGAGCAUACAAAAAGACAUUUGUCACAUUGAAAAUUUCAAGGAUUUUAGGAGUUGUAUACCAAGAAACUGGACUAAGAUCAAAUAUAGUUUUCACAAUAUUA